UACAGAGGGGGCAAGCGUUAUUCGGAAUUAUUGGGCGUAAAGGGCGCGUAGGCGGCUUGGCAAGUGGAAGGUGAAAUCCCUCGGCUCAACUGAGGAGCUGCCUUCCAGACUGCUUUGCUUGAGUCCGGGAGAGGUGAGUGGAAUUCCCAGUGUAGCGGUGAAAUGCGUAGAUAUUGGGAGGAACACCAGUGGCGAAGGCGGCUCACUGGACCGGAACUGACGCUGAGGCGCGAAAGCGUGGGGAGCAAACGGG
rnacentral:rRNA from 1 species